UUCUCAUCAUUACAAAGCUAUAGAUCAGAAAGGGUUAGUUUGUGUUUUUUGUGCUAUUAAAAAUAAAUGAGAAGCAGAAAAAAUAGAAUAAAUGCGUUGUGCUUUUGCGUGCAUGUGGAGAAAUCAGUUGAAAAUCAAGUUAUAAAGCAUUACAGUAUGUCCCUUUAAGUAGAAAUAUCGCAGUACUGUAGUGUCUUUUGGUUUGAGGUGCUGGUGCCUGCAGGCAGUCCUCGGUUGCCCAGGAAACACAGAUGGUGGAUGAAGGGCGCGCAUACAAAAGACCAUAAACCUGUGGCAGCAGCUGGAGACCGAGACCACUGAUUAAUUCAAGUCUGUGCAGUCCCCGCUCAGUCAAAGACGUCUCUGUUAUCUUUAAUACCUCCCAUCCAUUUUCUUUGUCCCGGGGCUUCCGUCUCCACUUUAUCCUGUUUUCUCCGGACUGGUCUCCCGUCAGUGCGCAGCUGUUGUUGGCACUCCCACAUCUGCUUGUCUCGGCUCGGCAGCCAUGUAGACGACGCUCAGCCGCGGCUCGUGUUAGUGCGUAGCGUGUAGGUCCAGGGGGCGACCAGCCUUUUACUGCGGGCUAAUCACUGCACACCCACGGCGUGUUUCUGCAGGUUGGCCAGCUUGCCCUCAGCCUGGAAGAAGAAAAAGAAGAAGUGUGUUUUUUUUUUCUCCCACCCGCACCGUUUGAUGCUGCGGGACAGGUGCAACCUGGACAUCACUGGUAAUCGUGCAGUUGGCAUGGCUGGAAUCAUCAGAGGUGGCGACAUAUCACCAGCCAGGACAGUGGGAGGACCGAAAUGAAACCAACAGCAGGACAGGUUAUGUGUACAGGCUGUAUUGUCUUUAUUAAAAAUCAUGGGGAGGAGAGUUUUUUAAUAGCACACAGUAUCAGAUGGAGAAUUUGAUAGCAUUACUCAGUCAGUUAAAUAUCUUUUUAGCAGAGGAUGUAUUUCAGUCUCAUUUGUCUUAAAUGAAAACCGAUAAGGAGAAGACAAUUAAAGGAAAGAACAAGUAAUCCCCAGGGUAUCUUUUGAGGACAGUUGGGUUGCGUCCCACUUUUCUGCUGCUUUGUGUUGUGUGUUCCUCUCCAGUUACACUGAUGAAAAAGCAGACCGGGGCUCGCUGGACCUCACAAGUGGCAUGGCUCCAUCGCCCUCUGCUGUGCUGCCUCGCAGACUGUGAUCGAUGCAUGGUGCCAUCUCUGCUGACCUGUACCUUCAGAGGGAGAGAAUCCAUGUCCAAGUGUGUCCCCACUGAGAGAUGACUGCUGCUGCUUUUUUGUAUAAGUGAAAAAGGGCUUUGAAGAGCUCAAAAUGCCACCACUGCUUUGUAGUCAGUGUCAGCAUGAUUAGAUUUAGCAGGGAGGUAUUUCAUGGAUGGUGUUUUGAGUCCAAAAUUAUUUGCUGCAGCGUUGUUUCCUGUUUCUCUCCAAUGUGCGUAUCUUCCUGGCUGUGUGAGUAAUACUAAUAUAGCUUCAUCCACCCCCACUGUCCUGUUUUUCAUUUUUUUGAGCUGAAAAAAACACAGACAGUGCAGCCAUCAAACACCACUAAUACUUGUUUUCUUCAGCCGACAUGUGCAGUGACCUCUUCACUAACACUUUGGCCACUUCUCCCUGUAUAAGACACUUAAACGAAGUGGUGUUUUAACAUGUGGCAACUUCUCACCAAAGCUAGCCUGUAUCUAUGCCAGAUCCAGAAAUGGAAAGCUCUGAUGUUUUUUAAGCCUGUAUUGUUAAAAAAAAAUCUGCUUCAAUGUGUGAGAAUGACUACUUUUCUCACAUUGUGACAAUGUGUAAUUCUCACAGUAUGUUCUUUGUUUGUCUUGAAACUUCCUAAUCUGGGUGUGAUACCAACUACUUGUAAUGUACUAUGUACAGUGUAUACUCCGUGUAUUUUUACUGUAGUGUGUGGGUGUGUGUGUCUGCGUGAGUGCACGUGUUUGUGUGCAUGUGCUCUAUUUGUGUGUGUGUUUUCUUCCUGUACGUGUGCAUGUGUCUGUCUGAUAAAACACAUUUGUAAUGGGCCUGAAGCUACUAGCUGCUUUUCAGUGGUUUUCUCAUCGCUGCACAGUUUUUUAAAAUGCCUGAAGUUCUUGUUUUAGCACACUGGAUGUACCAGACAAAGGAUAAAAAAAAUAUUUGCAAAUGGUUCUUAGCAUUUGUUACAGCCUCAUUGAAGUACCAGUUAGGUGGGGGUUCUUGUGAUUUAGAUAAUCACAAGAAUGUCGCUGGAAAUUAAUGGUGUGUGGUUUUCUAAAUGAUGCCUGCCGGCAUUAAUUAAACUGUCCCGAUGCCUACAGCCCCAUCAUCUGAUACUUCAGCAAAUUACAGCAAAUGCUAAUAAUUAUGUGCAAAUAGCUUUUUACCCAGGUCUGGAUUCUACUAACAGUAUCUCACUAAUAUCUAACAAUACUAAUGUCUGCUAACAGUCGGAUGAUUACUAACCUGUACUCUGAAUGCUGAUGGCUGGCCUUGUUCUUUCUAACCCACUGACUAACCUCUGCUUUAUGCCCGCAGUCUGAUGCACACACUCCUCUCUCAUGAUCCUGCAAUCCUUCUUCUAGAAAUCACCGGCUAAGAUGAAUUAUUAAAGAAGAAAAUCAAUGAAAACUGUUAAAGUGAGCGAGUCAAGAAGGGUUUCAGGACUUGGGAAGGGAAAUGUUAUUAACCACUAGAUGAAAAGAGGAGCAGAAACAGCUGCUGAUGUCAAACUGGGUUGACCACAUACUUAAGAAAAUUCCUCUCAAAAACCGAUUAUGAUCUGAUCCCAAAUGAUAUCACUUCACAGGCUAAAUUCACAUCUACAGAGGCCAUCUUUUGGUCUCUGCCUGUGCGCUGUGUGGUCAACCCUCGCAGGUGAGUGCCUGGCUUGUCGUCACCACAGGCCAAGCAAACCUCAACUCCACUACUAACUUAUAAUGGUGUUGAUACUAACAGUGGUGAGGCUGUAAAGACCCACCUGUUGCUCUUACUAACAUCUGUGUUCUUUCUGGCUCACACAUCCUGAUGUCUGUAAUCAAAUUAUUCUGUGUCUUUCUUAAUCUUUAAUUAAAUCAGAGCAUGCCUUGUGGUACUAGUGAUGUUUAUUAAAGGGACAGUUCACCCCCAAAACAAAAAAAAAUUUGUAUUUUUCCUCAUACCCGUAGAACUAUUUAUCAAUCUAGACUGUUUUCUGUGAGUUUCCAAGUGGAGAUAUUGGCUGGAGAGUUAAUAGAAAAAAUAGUUCCGACAUAAAACGGCUCACAACAAGGACUGUGGAUUAUCUUGAGUAACCAGUUCAAGAGUACCUUAUAAAUCCAUUAUAUUUUAGAGAGUGCAGACUUCUCUAUUGCCAACAUCUGUAACACUCAGCAGCU